UUGGAGGGCAAGUCUGGUGCCAGCAGCCGCGGUAAUUCCAGCUCCAAUAGCGUAUAUUAAAGUUGUUGCAGUUAAAAAGCUCGUAGUUGAAUUUCGAGACCGGCUUACUGGUCGUGCUAUUGUACGUACUGGUAUAAUCGGUUUCUCCUUUCUGACGAACUAUAAUGCCAUUAAUUUGGUGUUUUAGGGAAUCAGGACUGUUACUUUGAAAAAAUUAGAGUGUUUAAAGCAGGCUCACGCUUGAAUACAUUAGCAUGGAAUAACGGAAUAGGACGUUUGAUUCUAUUUUGUUGGUUUCUAGGAUCGACGUAAUGACUAAUAGGGAUAGUUGGGGGCAUUAGUAUUCAAUUGUCAGAGGUGAAAUUCUUGGAUUUAUUGAAGACUAACUACUGCGAAAGCAUUUGCCAAGGAUGUUUUCAUUAAUCAAGAACGAAAGUUAGGGGAUCGAAGACGAUCAGAUACCGUCGUAGUCUUAACCAUAAACUAUGCCGACUAGGGAUCGGAUGAUGUUAAUUUUUUAAUGACUCAUUCGGCGCCUUACGGGAAAC
rnacentral:rRNA from 1 species